CUACGGGAGGCUGCAGUGAGCAAUAUUGCACAAUGGGGGGAACCCUGAUGCAGCAACGCCGCGUGGAGGAUGACGCAUUUCGGUGUGUAAACUCCUUUUAUAUGUCAAGAAAAUGACGGUAGCAUAUGAAUAAGCACCGGCUAACUCCGUGCCAGCAGCCGCGGUAAUACGGAGGGUGCAAGCGUUACUCGGAAUCACUGGGCGUAAAGGACGCGUAGGCGGGUGGGAAAGUCAGGUGUGAAAUCCUACAGCUUAACUGUAGAACUGCACUGGAAACUUCUAAUCUAGAGUAUGGGAGGGGGAGAUGGAAUUAGUGGUGUAGGGGUAAAAUCCGUAGAUAUCACUAGGAAUACCUAAAGCGAAGGCGAUCUCCUGGAACAUUACUGACGCUAAGGCGUGAAAGCGUGGGGAGCAAACAGGAUUAGAUACCCGUGUAGUC
rnacentral:rRNA from 1 species